rnacentral:lncRNA from 1 species
GAAGCAUCAGACACUGGGGGGCGCUUCUUGAACAGGCACUGGGCUAGACAGCCCAGACCUCGCGGAAACAAAGCGGGAAGGGGCCGCUCCUGGGGAGUUUUUCCCAGCUUCCCUGGGCCGGUGAGGGGUCCUGGCGUCCUGAACUGGAGAUGCUCCUUAGAGGGCACUGCUUCAGCCACCCCUGCCUUAGCAUACAUACGGGUCCCACAGGGGUCCUUCGACACCAGCUCAUCGUCUGGGUUCCACCAUCCACCCACGCACUCAUUUGGCAGCUAUCAACGGAGUAUUCACAGUACGCUGCUCACAGUUCUAACCGCGGAGGAUAGAGUUGAGGCCCACACGACAGCCCCUGCUCUCACAGAACUGAUGUCUCUAGAAGAGUCUUCCCUCAGUGAGAACGUUCUGAUUUCUAGAACAUUCUUUCUUCUGAUGAGUGAACAGCCUCACCGGAACUUCCCCAUCCUCCUGGCUUGGUUCCUGAAGUGGCCCAAGGCUGCCUUCUCCCUCCCGUGGGUGAACAGGGUCACUGCUUCCUCUCUUGUCCAGGCCCCCUGGCCUGACCCUGAGUCCCGGGCGUAACGGCGUUGUUGAACCACCACAACCCCAGGCGGCGCCUUCCUCUUGGCCCAGGGGCUCUCUUGGGGACAGUGUGCAGUACUCCCCAAGGGGGCUUUGCUGUGCAAAAGCAGCCCCUGCCGAUGCUGCGGCUCCCGUGGAUGGAGCACUGCCGUGGGAACAGAGUUGGAACUCAUCCAAAAGAAUAAAAGACAACUGUGUUGGAAGAUUGCCAAGGUUUGUAGCUGUGCCACCGCAGACUUCAGAGAUGAACACUGCCUUGGAGACGAGGAGGAUUCAAGUUGCAGAAGCAUUUAGAAACCUCAAACUUGAGACACGGUGGGAAAUCAGGAAGACAUGAGGCUUUGCUCAACACUGGAGAACACCAGUUCUUUUCAGUUUGUAUGCAUCUUUAUCAGGGUCUAUGCGAUUCUGAGGCAAGAGGCAUGAAACAACUCUGAGGAAGCAGGUCGGAGAGCAGCUGACCUGGUGAUCAAGGAGGGGCAGCCUGCUAAAAGCAGGGGCAGCAAGACGACAUCUCCAGCUGAGAGACACAUGUACCACUUAGAGAUGAGAAAGAUGCACCAGGGGCCAUCCAGGAAACAGUUGAAAAUGUGGAAUUGAAUGUCAUAAAGAAGGUCAA